rnacentral:lncRNA from 1 species
CGGAAUCCGAACCUGUUAGUGAUCAUGAUCCAUAUUAUGUCAAAAAUUCUGAUGAAUAUGCAAUAUUCUUAAAGGUUUCACAGCCGUUAGGCUAAAUAACCGGGUGAGGGUCACCUAACUUAGAAGGCAGAUUCCUUUCUUGCUUUUUCUUCCUUUUCCAGAUUUUUGCUUCUAUUUUAUUUCUUUUUAUUGUGGGAUCAUUCACCUAUUUGCAUCAGUCCGCUUACUCGAUGGUGAUCCAGAUGGUGUUG